rnacentral:misc_RNA from 1 species
UUUUUUUAUUUCGAUAUUUCGUUACAUACUUUGACUAGUGUUUAAAGUGAGCCGCAGAAACCAGACGUCGCAAUCGUAAUGAAACAAUCACUAUUCCGUUUUCCGCCAAAUGAGUGCACAGAGUUAGAAAGUGGGGGUCAGGCCCUACCGAAGUAGACGCCCUAAAUUCACUAAUGAUCCUUCCGCAGGUUCACCUACGGAAA